rnacentral:rRNA from 1 species
UACAGGGGGUGCAAACGUUGCUCGGAAUUAUUGGGCGUAAAGCGCGCGUAGGCGGCUACUUAAGUCGGAUGUGAAAGCCCCUGGCUCAACUGGGGAAGUGCACCCGAAACUGAGCAGCUAGAGUACGAAAGAGGGUCGCGGAAUUCCUGGUGUAGCGGUGAAAUGCGCAGAUAUCAGGAGGAACACCGGUGGCGAAGGCGGUUCUCUGGGCAUGUCCUGACGCUGAGGAGCGAAAGUGUGGGGAGCGAACAGG